AAUAUGUUGCAUUGCAUAUCUUGAUGUUGAUGUGGAUGGAUGUUGGAUGACCCAUUGGUCCUCAGUAUGAUGAGACAUGAUAUGAUAUGAUAUGAUAUGGAAGUCCAGGUGUGGCCUGCACUACGCCCCUGGCACUAUGUAAGUGAAAGUCCGGGUGUGGCUUGCACUACGCUCCCGGCACAGUUGGACAUGUAUGUUAUGAGAUAUGUAAGGGAAAGACCAGGUGUGGCCUGCACUACGCCCCUGGCACAGUUGGACUAUGUAGAGGACCCUUGGUGACAAGUCCAUCCUUGAUGUGAUAUGGUUGUGAUGUGAUGCAUUACAUGAUAGCAU
rnacentral:lncRNA from 1 species